CUGAUUCAAUGACGUUUUGGUAAGCAUAUUUUGCUUCUCCUCCAUCCACCCUCCUGUUCCUUAGGCUACUCCUGGACCUUGGGCCUUUUCCCAGUGUGAUUUAAGAAAAUCAUGUAACAUCCCGGCCUAUCAAGUGCUAUGCUUUCUGACUGCAGAGGCAUAUGGAGGUAACUCCACCUUUUUUUAAGACCUAAAGCCUAUACACUUUUAAAUGCAAAACAAAUACAAAAUCAUGAACACAAAUUAGAUGUGGGAAGUUGAGAGAGGUCUGAACAAGCGAAGGGCCUCCAUGCUUAUAAUUCAUUAGCUUCCUGAUAAAUCUGCUUAGGGGCCUAAGGAUAUGUAUGAAAGCUCUUCUCCAGGAGUUUGGCCUUCCUGACCUGGAGCCAAGUUCACUGAGCAAACACAAAACCCCUAAGUCCCAGGAAAGCUCUCCCACUGUAAUAGGAGUCAGGAGGAACCACCUCUUUGCUUCUCCGCCCACCUAAAUGCUGCACAAAUGGAUGUCGAUAUCUCUUAAGGCAGAGCCGGGGAUUGCCAUCCUAAGAAAGCUAUAAUGGGCCCACGUUUUCCUGGUUUGCCAAUGAGCCCAGCCCUGCUGGCGGGCACUUGGCUGGAGCGGGGAGCUUACCCCUGAGCCACCCACCAAAGCAGGCAUGGGCAAGCAUGGACCCAGGGCCCACAGGGUGCUGCCCAAACUAGGAACCAUGAAAGAAAAGCAGAAGUAGGAGUCAGCCCUUUCCUCCGUGUGGGAGCUAAAACUCUUGACCGAGAGACCUUGGAACUUUGUGACCCUGGGUUACACCACAUUGUAUUGCAAUAACUCAGGCAGGGACAGGGACAGGGGCUUAGGCCAUAAAAGACUUCAGGGCCUGGUGUUGAAACAGUGUGAUGAGCGCGAGUCAGGGGGUCAUCUGGACUUGGGUUGCUUCUCCCGUGCAAUGGAGCUGCGCAAACCAGCAUCUCCGAGGUCUCCUCACAUCCUGUGAAGUCACAAAAUGUCCAUCUGGGGACUCACUGUUUGUUUGAGCCAUUCCAUUCCUUCUCCAGUCAAGUUGGGACCUCGCUUGUCCCAACCUCCCACUGCCUCUGUCUCUGUCUCCUUCUGGCUCCGUCAAGGCUGCUCUCUGAUCAAACUGCAGACUGCGGUGUGGUAACCAAACGGGAAAACAGGCUUCAGCGCACCGACUUCCAAAACAGGCACCUUGAGACAGGACAGAGCAGGGAGAGAAAGACCAAGAACCCGUCUUCUUUUGGAAACUUGUCCUGUUUCCCAUAGUUUCAUGAUUGCUAUGGCCAAAAAAAAAAAAAAAAGUAAAAGAGUCAACACUAAAAAGGUGGGUUCCUCAGAUGAGAGGAGGACCCCAGACCUCCUCGAGGACUGAUACUAUCUAUUGAGCCAGACAGGCCAGCCCUGGGGAGGCCAGGACAGCAAGGGAAGAUGGCCAGGCAGGAUGGACCGGGCAUCUCUCUCCAGAAAUACACUAAACAUGGUUGUUUCCCAUGCUGGGGGCCAACUCCGCAUGGCCCUCAGGGGCCUAGCUGUCCUUGAGCCUGUCCCAUGAGUCAUUAAGAAAGCCGCUGAGCUCCCACCCAUCUUGGCUGCUAAACUCCUGAAGGCUGCCUCCCUCACCCCAGCCCAUCUGCCAGCCCUUGUGUAUCUCGCCAUCUCCUUUUUCUCUUCCCCUCACCUCCGAAUGCUCCUCCUGCCCUGCGACACCAGGGGACUGUGCUUUUCCUUUCCCACAGCCAGGGACAUGUCAAACUCUCCCCACCCCACGCUGCUCUUGGAGAUAUUCCCCUGCUUGGGGGCUCUGUUCUCAGGCUCCUUCUAGCACAUUCUCUAGCUCUCCUUCCUCUCAUCCCCACCCACCUGCUUCAAAUAAUGCAAUCCUUACAGAGGAUGCUUCUUGGGGUGCUUAAGAAACGACACGGGGCCUGACCCUGACCUGAGCCCCUCGUGACCGACGUACAAAUCCGAUUUCAUGGGUUAGUAUUAGGUGGAGCCAGGCAAAAUGGCUGUUAUUCAACCAUGUUGACAUCCAAAAAGAAUGACAACUUCGUGAACUUCAAUCUAAUGAAAGAACCUGGAAUUCUAAUAUCAGAAACAUAUUAGCUGGCAUCCCACCAUACAAAUUUGGAAGUGGGGCAGGGGAAAGGAGCAGGGUCUAUUGUUUUUUGCAAAAUAAAGUCCUUCUCAGCUAGAGGUGAUUCUGCCCUGAGAGGGGAUGAUGGGAAGGGUAUGGCUAUAUUUUUUGUUAUCACAAUGGGAUGGGAGAUGACAUUGGCAUAUAAGGGAGAGAGGUCAGAAUGCUGCUAAAUGUCCUACAAUACAUGGGGCGCCUCUCCACCAUGAUGAAUUAUUUGGCCUAGCACUCAAUAGUAUGAGUUGAGUAUCCCUUAUCCAAAAUGCUUAGGACAAGAAGUGUUUCCCGUGUCAGAUUUGGGUGUUUGGGAAUUUUUUCAUAUGCAUGGAGAUAUUUUAGAGAUAGAACUCAAGUCUAAACAUGAAAUUCAUUUGUUUCACCUAUAACCUUAUACACAUGGCAGGAAGGUAAUUUUUCAUUACUUUUAGUGCACUGAGGAGUGUAGUGCUUUGACUACAAUCAGUCACGUAAGGUCAGGUGUGGAAUAUUCCACUUGUGGAUUUGGAUCAGCUCUCAAAGAGGUUCAGAUUCUGAAGCAUUUCUGAUUUUGGAUUUUCAUGUUAGGGAUGUUUUCACCUACGCUAACAAGGUUGAUAAAAACUUGGCGUCAAGUGUUUUCUGGGGACCCAGAGUCUUAGACAUGUAGUUAAGCAACUUACACUGAGACGACAGCUCUGGUCACCCAGCCAAGGAGGACAUUGUGUCCACGUCCUCUGCUCUGAGGCAGAUCCAAGCGGAACAACUGACUCCCCCAACCCUCCUGGGAUCCAAUGCUACUCCCUGGACUGGCCACCUCCUGGAAGCUGUUCACAGGUGUCGCAAGUAGCCUGCUGCGAUGGGCAUUUUCAAUAUCCCCAACCCCUGCCCAAAUCCCUGAGCCAGAGACUGGGCUCAAUUCCUGUGCCCUUGAAGUUCCCUGCAAGAGAAGGGCUCAUGCCCUUCCCUGCAGCAUGCAAGGCUGCUCCCGCCAGGCUGUGCACCCAGGCUCCUAAAACCACAGAGCACAGCCCUCCCCCAGCAGAGACCGCUCCCUCCCGCCAGCUGUGGCAGGCUCACGUUAUUUCCUGGAAGGGAUUAUGUGUCACUCUCAGUGAUGGAAAAGGGAGCUUAAGAGGUUGCCCGGCACACUCUCCCUUGCCUCCCCAGCUGCUGCUGCUGCCCACCAUUAGGCAAAGAGCUGGAGAGAGGCUGAAUAAGUACAGUUCACGGGCACCGCACCUGAGCUAUAUUCGCCCUUCCUAAGCAACCAACUGGGCUCUUUCCACCUCUUUCUCUUGGCAGGAAGUCCACAUGAGGCUGCAGGACACUUGCCUCUGUUUCCAAACUUGAACCUGACCUACAGCCACAAAAGUAUCACCCACGGAAGGAAAUGGAAGGAAUGAUGGGAAUCAUCUAAACAAGGCCAUGUCAGAAUUUCCAAAAAAUAAUAAAGUCACAAUAGGGUGCUCCAGGAGAUUCCUUAUGAAAGAGAUUCCUCGAUCUCGGCAGAAAACCCUCGCAGGUACCACGGGCCUCAGCCAACAGACGUCUUCCUGCUGCCUGACCCAGCUUCUCUGUGUCCAGCUGCAACUGAAACCCUGCAGUGAAACCAGGGGCAGGGUGGGGGAGUAUUUUUGAAAAUAAAACAGGAGACAUAUGAUCCGUUCCAAUACUUAGCUGUUCUCUGCUUUUCGGAACUUAAAACCUGCCUCUCGUCCACCAAAUGACACAGAGUGCUGGCAGAUGGAGCAGAGAGAAAAGGCUAAAUGUAUUUUAAUGGGACCAUUAGGAUUAUGUCAAAAGGUGAGAAGAAAGCGUUUGCCUGCCAAGAAAAUAAGCAUCAGUCUAAAAGAAAUAGAGUGUGAUCCAUCGCUCCAGUGCUUUCCCACCCACUCCAUUUUUUUUUGGGGGGGGCGGUUUAUGAAACUCUGAUUCCAUAGGAAAGAUCCUAGGUCACCCGUGGUAGGCCAACUGAUGUGGGCAGAAACACUGGUUGAGCCAAAUGGAAUCUGCUCAACUUUCAGCCUCCUGGAGCCUCCAGUGUUGGGAUUUUUCAUUUGACAGACCAACCAACCACCCAUAUCUUCACCGCCAGCACCAACAGUCCCCUCUCAGCCUCUUGAAGCUGGCUAUUAAACCUUGGAACUCUACAAGAAGUUCAAAGCAGAACAGAGAUUUCCAUUGGAACCAGAACAGGUUCUCUCCUGCUUGCUCCACAGCACACAGAUGGGAGGCAGUUAUCAACUCCACAUCCCGGGCUUCUAUUUGGCCUUCCUGGUAAUAACAACAAAGGGAGCCUCCAGGGGAAUGGCUUUUGACCAUUGACAAGGCAAUCUGACACCCAUUUUCUCCUGAGCUCCUUAAGGGAAGGAAAAAAAACCCUCAAAAUUUAGCUGGGCUUUCUAGUCUCCUUUUACAGAUAAGGAAACAACCCACAACUGAUGAGAAAUCCUUAGGCGAGCUCAGCGGGGACGGAACCUCCCGUGGAGCAGAAAGACAAAAGCCCUCUUGAUCCUCAUUGUCAGUGCAAAUCCAGACCAUAAAGGCAGAGCCUCGGGAAGCUUCUGAAAAGUUAAAAGAUAAAAAACAAUUUUUUUAAAAAAGAGAGACAUUGGCAACAAAAGCCUGUCUGCAACUGGCUGGGCCAUCACAGUGACCUCGGCAAUCCCCGUGCAGAGACAAAGGGGAGGGCAAGAUGGCACCCUGGCUAAAACCCAGAGAUGUACCUCCACUGACCGCAUCCUUCAGUUCCUACAAGGACAUCGCCUGUGUGGUCAUGCACACCGAAAUACUCCAGCAUUAACAGUGUGUGUGUGUGUGUGUGUGUAUGCACGCUACAAUCUAU
rnacentral:lncRNA from 1 species